rnacentral:rRNA from 1 species
CCGCCACAUUGGGACUGAGACACGGCCCAAACUCCUUCGGGAGGCAGCAGUGGGGAAUUUUGGACAAUGGGGGCAACCCUGAUCCAGCCAUGCCGCGUGUAUGAAGACCGCCUUCGGGUUGUAAAGUACUUUUGUCGGGGAAGAAAAGGUUAGUGUUAAUACCACUGACUGAUGACGGUACCCGAAGAAUAAGCACCGGCUAACUACGUGCCAGCAGCCGCGGUAAUACGUAGGGUGCAAGCGUUAAUCGGAAUUACUGGGCGUAAAGCGGGCGCAGACGGUUACAUAAGUCAGGUGUGAAAUCCCCGAGCUCAACUUGGGAAUGGCGCUUGUAACUGUGUAGCUAGAGUGUGUCAGAGGUAGGUAGAAUUCCGCGUGUAGCAGUGAAAUGCGUAGAGAUGCGGAGGAAUACCGAUGGUGAAGGCAGCCUCCUGGGAUAACACUGACGUUCAUGCCCGAAAGCGUGGGUAGCAAACAGGAUUAGAUACCCUGGUAGUCCACGCCCUAAACGAUGACAAUUACCUGUUGGUGUGCUUGCCACA